rnacentral:rRNA from 1 species
UACGUAGGGGGCAAGCGUUAUCCGGAUUUACUGGGUGUAAAGGGGGCGCAGACGGCGCGGCAAGUCCGGAGUGAAAUCCCAGGGCCCAACCCUGGGGCUGCUCUGGAAACUGCCGGGCUGGAGUGCUGGAGGGGCAGGCGGAAUUCCUAGUGUAGCGGUGAAAUGCAUAGAUAUUAGGAGGAACACCAGUGGCGAAGGCGGCUUGCUGGACUGAAACUGACGCUGAGGCUCGAAAGCGUGGGGAGCAAACAGG